rnacentral:rRNA from 1 species
ACGGGUGAGUAACACGUAGGCAACCUGCCCUCAAGCUUGGGACAACUACCGGAAACGGUAGCUAAUACCGAAUACUUGUUUCCUUCGCCUGAAGGGAACUGGAAAGACGGAGCAAUCUGUCACUUGAGGAUGGGCCUGCGGCGCAUUAGCUAGUUGGUGAGGUAACGGCUCACCAAGGCGACGAUGCGUAGCCGACCUGAGAGGGUGAUCGGCCACACUGGGACUGAGACACGGCCCAGACUCCUACGGGAGGCAGCAGUAGGGAAUCUUCCGCAAUGGGCGAAAGCCUGACGGAGCAAUGCCGCGUGAGUGAUGAAGGUUUUCGGAUCGUAAAGCUCUGUUGCCAGGGAAGAACGCUUAGGAGAGUAACUGCUCCUGAGGUGACGGUACCUGAGAAGAAAGCCCCGGCUAACUACGUGCCAGCAGCCGCGGUAAUACGUAGGGGGCAAGCGUUGUCCGGAAUUAUUGGGCGUAAAGCGCGCGCAGGCGGUCAUUUAAGUCUGGUGUUUAAUCCCGGGGCUCAACCCCGGAUCGCACUGGAAACUGGGUGACUUGAGUGCAGAAGAGGAGAGUG